UGGAGAACUGAGGGGGGCUGCUCCUAGUACGAGAGGACCGGAGUGGACGCAUCACUGGUGUUCGGGUUGUCAUGCCAAUGGCACUGCCCGGUAGCUAAAUGCGGAAGAGAUAAGUGCUGAAAGCAUCUAAGCACGAAACUUGCCCCGAGAUGAGUUCUCCCUGACUCCUUGAGAGUCCUGAAGGAACGUUGAAGACGACGACGUUGAUAGGCCGGGUGUGUAAGCGCAGCGAUGCGUUGAGCUAACCGGUACUAAUGAACCGUGAGGCUUAACCUU
rnacentral:rRNA from 2 species